GCAGCCAAGGUAUAUGUUACAGACAAAGCUUCAAUCUAAUAUUCAAUAAAUAAAUAAUAAUUAAAACAUAAUUACUAAUUAAAGUAUUCAAAAAGGCUAAGAUAUUACUUAAUUACAUGUAUUAAAUUAAAGAAGUUGUCAAAAAAACAAAAGUAAAGAAACUAAUUUUAUUUUAUAUUUUUAAAAUUAAAACAAAAACACAAAAACACCUUGACCAACAAACAUUUAUCGGCAUAAGUAGGUAUAUGCCAG
rnacentral:lncRNA from 1 species